CUCUUCCCUCCCCCUUCCUGGUCUGCCAAUUAGAUCUCUUCUGGGGUUCAUUUUCAGAGAGUCCCUGACCCCACGCCUCCAGCUCCCUUUCUUUCCCUGCGAUCUGUCUUCUGAACGUACUUCUAACUCACACUGUCAGCGUUUGGACCCUGGGAAGUCGAGAGGGGGGUCCAUCUUUUCCUGCAACUCCACUUGGGAAAUGCAGUGAGAACAGCUGAGAUGAUUCAUCCCAAAUCCAUGUCUAGGCAGCUAGACUUGGACUAGCCAAGAUGGAUGGGCGUGGUGUAAAGGAAUUCAUUAGCCAUGGAUGCAUUCAUGAAAGGACUGUCCAAGGCCAAGGAGGGAGUCGUGGCUGCUGCUGAGAAAACCAAACAGGGUGUGGCAGAAGCAGCAGGAAAGACAAGAGAGGGUGUUCUCUAUGUAGACUUUGAUAUGGUCCCGGGGUACCUGCCAAGAGACCUGAAAAGGAAAGGACAGAAAUGUCUUAGGUGGAGUGAUUCCCCGAGAUCACUUGACAAGCUGGAGACCAAGAGCUCAAGAAAGUACUUGAGGGCUCCUAGUUACAUCUCAGCGACAUUUAUAUAGUUCAUUUCUCAAAUGAUACACAAAA